UAUAUAGAUGUACAUCUAUAUAUGUAAAUUUAGAAGACACUUGUGUCAGGUGCUGUACAGUACAGUAUAGGUGUAUAGAUAUACAGAGAGAGCAGGUGAAAAAAAACAAAGACUGUGAAAAAAAAGGCUUUGAACGCUUUUAAUUGAUUGUAGGAUUUCUUUUGCUAGAUUCACACGGCAACUCAAAGAAGCAUCCUUCUGAGCAAAUUCAACAACAAAAGGAAAAACAGACUGAAGCCAACCCAGCCGACAGAGCUCCUUGUAACACAGAAGAACCUUCUUCUACACCUCAAGAAAAGAUCAAACCGCCUAUGAUAAGGCAGAUGUCUGGAGCCGAGAUUGCUUUCAACUUAAAAGAUGAGAAAGGGGAUGUCGUCCCUGUAGAAAUAGAUGGCAUAGAAGAGGAAGUUUGCGAAAGGACGCCAACACCAGAGAAGAAAGUCUCCAUACAGCAAAGGGUAUUAAAAGCCAGAAAUUCCGAACAGCAAAUGUCAAUUAUUGCGGUAAGGCUCGUUGCUGUAGCAACGAAUUAUAAGCAUAAAAAUCUAAAUGAGAUAAUUCAUAAAUGAAUGGCGAGAGACUAUAAAGUAAGAAACGCUUAUAUAGGAGAGUGAAUGAUGCAGAUGGUCCAGGCACACAGAAGCUAGAGUAGGGAGCUAGGAAAAGAGGUUGAGGGAAGAAGGGGUAGAGUGAUUUUCGGCUAUAUAGGCCAAACACUUCUAGUAUUACAUUGAUCAAAAGAUCAUGUAGAAAUAAGCUAAAUUCGUCAAAUAACGUGAGCAAUUUCUUUGUGAAGAGGAAGAAAAAAGGAAAAAUUCUUCUCUAUUAUUAAGUUUGAAAAAAACGAUUGAAAAGAAGAAAGAACUACGAAAGUCAAAAGUAUAUGAUCUCGAAAGACAAGCUCAAUAUACAGGGAUAGAAAAGAGAUAGUCUAGUCCAAAUGGACAGUUAAGUUUGAGAAGUGAAAAUGGGGCAAAGAGCUAGAUAGAUAGAUAGAUAGAUAGAUGGAUCGUUGGAUAUAGAAACACCGCGAGAGAGAGAGAGAGAGAGAGAGAGAGAGAGAGAGAGAGAAAGAAAGAGUGAAAGAGACAGAUAUAUAUACAGGCAGACAGAAAACAACGAAUGUGCUUUAUGAAGCUCUAGUAAAUCAGUCCAAUAUCAGAGGGAGAAAAUGUUAAAUAAAAAAAUUUCUGUUCGAUUGGCAUAGAAUAAAUUCGAAUGACUCAGAAUGUUAUAGCCGAACCGGAAAGACUUUGUAAAAUAACUUAGAAAGAGAUAAAAUUGAAGGCAUUUGUUAAUUCAAUCUUAAUUAUAUCUCAUUGAGUAUAAACGAAUACGAUUAAGUCCAAAAGGCGACAAAGACUGCUUCCUAACUCAAUGAAUCAAUGUAGAAAUAAAGGUAUAUAUUAUAUUAAUAUAUAUAAUAGUUCAAGGGACAUAGUACGCUUGGAGAGAGAGAAUUAUUAAGAGACAGACAGGCAGAGGGAUAACAAAUGUGCAAGUAUGCAGAUGCUGUAUAUAUGAGUGCGUGUGGGAGAGAUAGAAGAAGAAAGACAGAUACGAGAGGCUAUGAGACAAAGACAGCAGAAAGAAAAGUUGAUAUGAUCAUUGAUCUGCAGGAAUACUUUACAGAGCAACGCCUAAUUAAGCUUACGAAUAUUAAGAGUUUAAUGAAACAUUACUCUUCUAAUUAACUUGAUAUGCUUCUUACAUUUAUUUUUUACUAGGCAUCGAGAGAAAAUAGAAAACAGGAGUGGGUCGAGUUGCUAGACGAGCAUGCGCAGAUUGUUAAUGAAGUUAAUUGCCUAGAGGGCGUUGGCGAUAAAGAAAAUAUAAAUGGGCCGUCAGAUGGUGCUGCGCAGAUAUCUUGAAACUCCCAACGACUCUAGACCUCUGUACUUUUAGUGCCUUGUCUAGCAAGGUUCUGGAGUUGCUAAAAGCACUUGUCUUAAUUUGUGACAUUCCAGAUAUCGUUCUCGUGUUUUUU
rnacentral:misc_RNA from 1 species